rnacentral:rRNA from 1 species
AACGUAGGGGACAAGCGUUAUCCGGAUUUACUGGGCGUAAAGCGCCCGUAGGCGGCUUGAAAAGUUGGACGUGAAAGCUCCUGGCUUAACUGGGAGAGGCCGUUCAAAACUGUCAGGCUAGAGUAUGGAAGAGGAGCGUGGAAUUCCCGGUGUAGUGGUGGAAUGCGUAGAGAUCGGGAGGAACACCAGUGGCGAAAGCGGCGCUCUGGUCCAAAACUGACGCUGAGGGGCGAAAGCGUGGGGAGCGAACGGG